rnacentral:lncRNA from 1 species
CCAGGACCUGGCACAAGCUAGACAAGCACUGUACUACUGAGCUACACCUUCAGCCCUCCAUUAUUUUUCAAAUCAUCAGUCACUGAUGUCAGUUAGAAAGAGUUUAACCAUCUCCAUUUGAAUUCCCUCUUAGGCCCAAAGACCAGAUCCAAAAUGUAGAGAGAGAAUGUGGUCUUUUUGCUUCUGAGUCUGAGUAAAUCACUUCCCAGUUUCCUCAUCAAUGAGAUGGAGAUGGCAAUCUCUACCCCACCUUACUACUGGGGCCAGUGGGAAGGUCAGACAGCAGAGUGUGAAAGUGCCGUAUGAAUCGUCAAGGCCUGUGUGAAUUCUAUGGACCUAUUUUUUAGGUCCAAGCCUCUGUGCUUGAGGCUCUGGACAAAACUUUCCAAGGCUGCUGCACAUCUAGACAGUGACAUCAUAUGCAUGUUAUUAGAGUCCAGGGUGGGGCACAAAAGAGAGGCCCAGAGUCAUGGAGGCAGGGAAGGAUACAGAAGGGAGCCCCACCCACUGCCUGCCUGUGGAAGACCUGUUUUCUGACUUAAAUAAAUUAAUUCUCUUAAACAGUCAUAGACUCUGCCUGACCUCUGUGCUCAGGGGAUGCUCUGAUUACCCCCUUAAAUAUAAGGACUAGGGCUGGGGAUGUUACUCAGUGACAGAGUGCUUGCCUAGGAUGUGUGAGGUCUGAGAAGUUAGUUCAAUCCCCAGCACUGAUCUGGGGAUUGAAAAAAAAAUAGUGUAUGAGAGACUCUGAUUUAUCUCUGUAUUGACCUUGGGGCCUGGACAUGGCAGGCAUUCAGGAUAAGUUUGUUCAACAAAAUACAGGUAGAACAUUUUGUGAGAUCUCCUCAUCACCCUCAUUCUCACUUCCUUUGUGUUAGCAAAUUCUACUUGUAGAUAAGCAUAAAAAACCAGGAUGUGAUUCAGGGAGAUGGAGGCUCUACUCAUGCAUGAAGAUGUUAUUGGCCAGUAUUAAUGAAAGGGCUUCAUUGGAGUGUUACCAUUAGGUACUUUGUUAAUCCCAGGAGACUGUGAAUCCAGGGCCUGGUAGGAAAAGCUCUCUGUCUGCCAGUGGUCAGGUUGCUUUUGAACCCCUUCACUGGUCCUGCCAAUCACUGGAGCAGAAAGAAAAUGGCUUAAUUAACAAAUGUUUGUGAGAUUUUAUUGUGUGCCUGGCCCUGUUUUUGGUGCUUUGGGUAACACAAAGAAGGUCCAAUUGUGCCUUCUGAAUUGGAAAUAUGCACUACAGUUGAGAAGAUGACUUGUAGAGGCUCAGGGAAUUCCUGCUGCCAGGCAGUGUUAACAUAGGGCCAAGACAAUGGUAAUCAUUGACAUCCAAGACAGAGGCGGGGAGAUCUUCAGAGGCCCUAGGGUUGGGAAGGCUUUCCAGAGGAGGUGGAACUAUGUGAGGGAGAGAAAGGCAAUCAUGGAGACUUGCCUCCUCCACUUCCCACAAAUCUUCUUUCCCUUUAUGGUACCAAUUAGGAGAAUGCUUUAGUUUUCAACUGCUGCAAAACAAAAUACAACAAAUUUAGCAGCUUAAAAAAACAUUCAUUUAUCACUUUAUAGUUCUGCAAGUCAGAAGUCCAGGCAUGGUGUGCUUAGCUUCCCUGCCCAGGCCUUACAAGAUUGAAAUCAAGGUAUGAGCUGGCUGGGUGCUAGAGGUUCUGAGAAGUGACCUCCUUGGCACUCCCAAGCUCAUUUAGGGUGGCAGAAUUUAGUUCCUUGCAGUUGACGGACAGAGGUUCCUGUUUCCCUGAUGUUGUUAGCUAGGGUUGCUCUCAGCUUCUAGAGGCCACAUUCUCAAGUCCUUUCUUCAUGGCUCCCUCCAUCUUCAAUCUAGCACUAGCAUAUCAAAUCUCCUUCAUAUUUUGAAUUUCUGACCUCCUUUCUGGCACGAGAUGAAGAAAUGUUCUGCAUUUAAAGGUCUCUUGUGAUUUUCUCCAGUGCCUCUUGAUGGUCUCCUUACCAUCAGCUCAAAGUCAAUUGAGAAGUAAUCUAAUCCACUUGCAAAAUCCCCUUUGUCAGGUGAACUAACAUAAUCAAAGUCCUGGGAAGGGGGAUAGAAAAUCUUGGUGGGAGUUAUUUUGAGAUUUAUUAAUAGAAAGAAAGUUAUGAGGGUCUAAACUCAGGUGUGGGCAGAGGGAUAGCAGAGAGGGGAGAAGCUGAGAGACAGCAAGCACUGAACCAGGUACUUUCACAAAGGACGUCUCCAUCCUCACAGCAAAACUGGAAAGCAGCAUCAUUCUCAUUUCCUCAUUUUAUCCAUGAAAUGCUGAGACUCAAAGAAAAGAAGAGGCAUAGCCAUUAAAUGGCAGCUCUGCCUAAUUCCAGAGCUUUCCUGUUCCAUUUGGCUGUCUGAGAAAGGAGGAGGGGGCAGUGUAAAAUACCCUGGGGAGAUCAGGAGCACAGACCUUGGCAACUGAUUUGCUGUGGUGCAAAGGUUGGAGAGGAAUCCAAGAUGAUCUAAAGCACUGAGUCUAGAGGAUGGGAAGAUGGUGGGAUCAUUAAAAGAAAUAUACCUAAGGGCUACUUCAGCCAGGUAUAGAAAGGUCACCACAUUUCUGUGUGGAUUUCAAAUACUCAGUACUUCCAGGCUCUGUAAACACAUGCCUUUACCGUCAUAGAAGCUGAGUCUCCUACCAAGGAAAGGUUAGGAACCCUCAGCUGUGUGUCUUGACUCCUAGCAACUGUUUCAAGCCUAGGAAUAGCUGGAAUCCUGAUGUGCUAGAUCCCAGCAGGGUGAGGCAAAAAGGGUUGAUACCAGCUGGUGGCAGCAUCUGGAGCUGAAUGUAGAAACUCUUCUUUGCCAAGUGUUCUGGGCAGCACUCAGUGUUCACACCAGUUUGACUUUUUGGACUCUGAUACAGAGAUCAGGUGGGUAGUCACACUAAGAUGUCUGUACAUGGCUCUUAAGAAGUUGUAGCGCUGUCCUUGCAGCUCCUCUAGGACAAUCGUUCCUGGGCUUACCUGCUGUUUCCCCUUCCCUGUCUUUCUUUAUCCAUUCUGUCUGCAUCAGGUGACGAAUUCAAAGGCACUUUAAUGUAAAAUAUGGAAUUUCUGUUUAGUAAGUCCCUUUCUGAGACUGUGGCUUGCUGGAUUAGGUGGUUCAUGUGUUGUUGUGCUCUGAAUUUCUUCUUCACCUUGGUUUCUCCAGAGCAAGGAUGUGAUCACUCAGAGAAGGAAGGCACUUUUCUGUGGUCUGUCCUUGCCCAUUUUGAAAACUUACCAUUUCAACAAAUAUUAACACCUCCAACAGUAGCCAACAUCAGCUAUGUUGUAACUAAGAGUUUCCGUGGGAGGCAUGGCUAAAUUGGGUGUUUUCUCUAAGGGCCAUUUCAAUUGGGGUUCUCUGUGCUUGGGGAGUUUAGUUGAGAGGGACAUUUGGAAGGACUGGCAUUAAAAAGGUAGAUGGAGGAGAGGAUAGGGUUGCUUACACUGAGCAUUAAAGGAUGGCUGGCGCUGGGUUAAGUAGCCAGAAGUCCUCUCAGGCAGGGUGAGGACUGAGCGAGGAUGUGCAGGUUCCAGGGAACAUGGUUUAUGGGAUGUGAGUGAGGCUCUCAGGGUGAACCAGGGAGGUAGAGGAGGUGGAGCCACCCUAAUCUGAGAAAACACUCUCUGUUCUGUUUCUUUUCUCUUUAGGAUUUUUUAGCCUCCUCCCCUAUAGGUGGAUUUGUAGGGAAACAUUUUCUCUGGCCUAGCCUCAAGGGCACAUUGUGGAAUACUAUAUCCCUUUUAGGUUUAUUCUCUGCCUUCCUGUGAAUAUCCUUUCCUUUCCCCUGCCCCAGCCCUCAUUUCUUUAAAAAGUACUGUUUUUACCAAGCAAACUUACUUGUUUUCAUUUCUGCAGACAAAUGCAAUAUUUGAAUGCAUUUAAUUUAGGCACUAAGCCAUGGCAGUAAACCACGAUAACUGCCCCAAAUAAAUAAUUUAUGAAGUGGGAGGAUCCCCAAAAGACCAUAAAACCCCAAAACAUGGGGGUACCUCCUCUCUUUGGGAAGCUCUGCUUCAUGUUCCUGGAGCUUACUUUUUCAUUAAAUAAACCUUUACACAGGGGCUGUGGCAAACACCUGUAAUCCUAGUUACUUAGAAGGCUUCUAGUUACAAGUUUGAGGCCAAGGCCAGCCUGGGCUACUUAGACCCUGUUUCAACAUUAAAAUAAAUAAAUAAAUAAAUAAAUAACAAAAGGGCUGGGGAUCUAGCUUAUGGGUAGAGCACACUUGGGUUCAGUCCUCAGUAGUAGGGGGAAUAAACAAAAUACCUUUAUGCUAUUCUGUUAAAAAAAAAAAGAAUGCACUUAAAUGUCAUUAUACAGUUAUCUAUCAUUUUACCUCUCUUUGGGAGCUAGUCCAUAUUUUGCAUGAUUUGUUGUUAUACAUUUUCUAUAGAAGUAUAGGAGAAUGGGGCCUAGUUUUUCUAUUGAGGCAGGUAUGUAACACCAGGCUGGAAAUUCCAUUCUCGUCUCUGAAUCUGACUAUAAUAGGGCAUAACUCCAGUGAUCAUAUGUCAUGAAGAAUGAGGUCAUACUAUAUUUAUUAGCAUUCUGUUAUUGCAGUUACAAAAAUCAUCUGGUAUUAGUUUGAGUCAAAGAAGAGAAUUUGUUUAAAAGAUUCAAGGAUAUGAUAUAUCCUGAGCUCUAGGAAGGAAUACAACUGGGCUUCAGGAAGGGACUUGACGUAGGAAUUGCAAAACCAUCAAAAAACAAGGCAGUUUCCUAGUGUGCUUCCUUCAGUGAGUGCUCUGUGCAGACUGGCUGUCCCUGUUCCCAGUCCAUGUGCAAGGCAGGAAAGGCCCAUUCCCACCAUUAUCAAUGAAGACCUGUUAGUUGCAUUUCUAAAUAUGUUUUGGAGAUUGAACCAUAGUAGUACAAUCAGCAGUGGCCAGUGUGGGAUCACAAAACACAAACACUGACUGUUGGAGGCCUGGCCUGUAAGAGGGCGUACUCAUCAGAAGGGCCUAAUUUAACAUCCAUCCUGCCCAACCAGACAGGUGGCCAACAACUUAUUUUUAUCAGUAUAAUUUUUGUAUUUCACAAUGAACUAGAGACAUUUUGUAGAGAUGGUAGUGGUGGAAUCUAUGACUAGGGAAGCCAUGUGGAAGACAUAGGUCUGGCUUACUUCUGAUCUGUACACUUCACAAGUUAUUCUAUUACUGAAGAUGCCUUGAAGAUACAAGACCCAGCUAGGAGCUCAUUAUCGCCUCUGGUCCAAAGCCACAUUCUAUUUUUCAAAAAAGUGCUUUAGAUAGGGCAAAGGGAGGGAGGGGAAGGGAGGGGGCAUGGGGAUAGGAAAGAUGGUGGAAUGAGAUGGACAUCAUUUCCCUGAGUACAUGUACGAAGACACAAAUUGUGUGAUGCUAUUUUGUGUACAACGAGAGAAAUGAAAAAUUGUGUUCUAUAUGUGUACUAUGAAUUGAAAUGCAUUCUGCUGUCAUGUAUAACAAAUUAGAAUAAAUAAAUAAGUUUUAAAAAUGAGCUGGAGUUGUGGCUUAGUAGUAGAGCGCUUGCCUGGCAUGUGUGAGGCCCCUCAAUCCUCAGCACCACAUAUAAAUAAAUAAAAUAAAAAGAUC